rnacentral:rRNA from 1 species
GACGAACGCUGGCGGCGUGCCUAAUACAUGCAAGUAGAACGCUGAAGGAGGAGCUUGCUCUUCUGGAUGAGUUGCGAACGGGUGAGUAACGCGUAGGUAACCUGCCUGGUAGCGGGGGAUAACUAUUGGAAACGAUAGCUAAUACCGCAUAACAGUAGAUGUUGCAUGACAUUUACUUAAAAGUUGCAAUUGCCUCACUACCAGAUGGACCUGCGUUGUAUUAGCUAGUUGGUGGGGUAACGGCUCACCAAGGCGACGAUACAUAGCCGACCUGAGAGGGUGAUCGGCCACACUGGGACGGAGACACGGCCCAGACGCCUACGGGAGGCAGCAGUAGGGAAUCUUCGGCAAUGGACGGAAGUCUGACCGAGAAACGCCGCGUGAGGGAAGAAGGGUUUCGGAUCGUAAAGCUCUGUUGUAAGAGAAGAACGAGUGUGAGAGUGGAAAGUUCACACUGUGACGGUAUCUUACCAGAAAGGGACGGCUAACUACGUG